GGCCCUGUCGGUGCUGGUCAGCGGCCCGCCGCCCCAAAGAAGCAGCGGACUUUUAAUCCGCUGGUCGUGGGUUCGAGUCCCACGGGGCCC
rnacentral:tRNA from 1 species